AACGAACGCUGGCGGCAUGCCUAACACAUGCAAGUCGAACGAGACCUUCGGGUCUAGUGGCGCACGGGUGCGUAACGCGUGGGAACCUGCCCUUAGGUUCGGAAUAACUCCCCGAAAGGGGUGCUAAUACCGGAUAAUGUCUUCGGACCAAAGAUUUAUCGCCUUUGGAUGGGCCCGCGUUGGAUUAGCUAGUUGGUAGGGUAAAAGCCUACCAAGGCGACGAUCCAUAGCUGGUCUGAGAGGAUGAUCAGCCACACUGGGACUGAGACACGGCCCAGACUCCUACGGGAGGCAGCAGUGGGGAAUAUUGGACAAUGGGCGGAAGCCUGAUCCAGCAAUGCCGCGUGAGUGAUGAAGGCCUUAGGGUUGUAAAGCUCUUUUACCCGGGAUGAUAAUGACAGUACCGGGAGAAUAAGCUCCGGCUAACUCCGUGC
rnacentral:rRNA from 1 species